UACAGAGGGUGCGAGCGUUAAUCGGAGUGACUGGGCGUAAAGGGCAUGUAGGUGGUUUAUUUAGUCUGAUGUGAAAGGCGCGGGCUUAACCUGUGUAAUGCAUUGGAAACGGAUAAGCUAGAGUCUUGGAGAGGGAAGUGGAAUUUCCGGUGUAGCGGUGAAAUGCGUAGAGAUCGGAAAGAACACUCGUGGCGAAGGCGACUUUCUGGCCAAAGACUGACACUGAGGUGCGAAGGCGUGGGUAGCAAACAGG
rnacentral:rRNA from 1 species